UUUGGGAGAUGAUGCUAAACGAUAUCGAAUUUUGUUAUCAUAGGCGCAGUUUUGUGCUCUGCUGAACGAAAUCUUAUUUGCACGUCAGUCUGAUCCUAAA